GAAUUCAUUAAGGAAUCUGCAUGCUCAAAAUUAAGAAAAUAAAAUGGAGACCAGGAAAGAAAUGAACUUCUCAAGAGUCCUCACAAAGCUCUGCAAUAUUCUUACUGAAAAAACUGUCACAGAUUAAUGUCGUUAACAUAACACACACCAACAUUUUCCGUAUUGGCUGUUGCGGUAGAGACGGAUUACCGUGUCCUUGGAGCCCAUGUUGCUGCCUUCGUGUUUAGUUCCCGUGAGGCUGGGAGAGGAUGCUGUUGCUUGGCAAUCAUGCUGCACACAACUUGUAAAUCCGCGUAUCCCCGUCUCUGUCUGUGAACUCAGCAGAAAAAUAUGUACACGCAGUUCGUUCCAUUUCACCUCCCAAACCCCCAACUGGAGAGAAUCACAAGUGUUGCCUACGACGCGCAGGGAGAGCCGGUGGACACGGUACAGCAGAGCGCUGAAGCUCAGGGGAGGACGGACGGUGACCUAAGAAUUCUGGAUGCUCUUGCAGGACGUGUGGUGAUGCAUGCUUUUGGAAAUAAAGCCAAGAGAACGUGUCUGCUGUGAAUAUGAUAUAUAGAAUCCACUUAAAAGCACACAGUGAGGCAGCUGAAACAGACUCUGGGCUUACAUUUCCGCUGAUGAAAGCCAAGGUUUUAUCCAUCCUGUGAGUCCCAUCAGACUCUUAAGUUUCGCUGUCCUUAUGGUUAAAAUUGUUCCUGUUGUUGCAGUUCUUGCUUUUGCUUAUAGGUUUGCAUUUUUAGUUUUGGGGUUUUUUCCUCAUUAUUUACUGUUAAGCUAAGUUUUACACACCCUGUACUUUUAAAAUCAGGGAUGACAGAAAUACAGCGUGCUACCAUCAUGCCCCUACUGGCCCCUACCAACCCCUACGUAGACACUCAAUUAAUCACAGCUCUUCUUCUUGCAAGGUCCAGGUGCCAGCUCAGAACUUCCCUCCGGUCUUUUGGUGUCGACUCAUGAUACUUCAUUCAUCUCUUCAAAUCUAGACUUCAGGGUGUUCAUUCAAGCGUAUCACAUUUAACCAUGUUAGUUUGUACUGCUGCGUUAUUUGAGAUGUUUUUGAUUCCAGACUCUGCCAACUAACCUCUGAGCUAUUGUUCCCAACCAGCUCUCUGAAAAUGUGAUGAGCCUUUUUGCUUCUGUCUUCUUCCAGACUGUCCUAAUCUUCUUAGGACUAUUCUUCUGUUUUAAACACAUGAAUUUGGCAGACAAUUACUUAUCUUACAUUUCUUUCUGUUUUUAUGCUAAUAGACCUCCUUGUGGGCCUACUGGUUUUGGCCCUGUUUUCAACUAUUCCCUUGUCGACGAAAAUAAUCCAUAACCAAUCUGUAAAUGAAAAUUUGGGUGAGUUUAUUCUGAGCUGAAAUCCGAGGACCAUGGCCUGGGGCCUUUCUUCCCAAAGGAAGAAAGGGCACUGAAGAAGUGGGGUGCACAGAGUGGUUAUAUACCCCCAAACAGGGUGUUUCACAUAUGAUUGAAAUGUGCCUCCCACAAUAGUCACAAGAUUGCCCUGUCGGCACAGCGUUUGAUAGACACAGCAGGUAGUGGGUCUGCUAUCUCAGAGGGUGUAGCAGGAGGCAAGACUAUUGUCUCGAGCUGGGCGGUCACAGGUGAGCGCAGCAAUCAGUUUCUAGCCCAAGGAAAGAUGCUUAAUCCUUAAGGAGAUGCCAACAUUGGGAGGGGCAAGGAAGUUGCACCUUUAUCUCAAGGGCCUUUGUUCUUGCCAUAGGGAAUCUCUAAAGCAGAUAUACAAUGCAUGCUCAGCAGCCACGGUCAGGCCCUUUUGGAAAGACAAGGUCAGGCCGAAUUAGGUUUAUACCAAAUGGCUUCCUCAUAUUCUCCAAUAUAUCCUAUUGCUUGCCAUUUUUAUUUGUCACCCUUCUCCUAAACUUUCUUUUCUAGAAGUUUCUUCCUUUCUAUCCAUGUGAUCAUAACGUUACCACCGAAGGGGAGUCAUCUGCUUGCAGCAAGACAUGCCAAUAAGGCAAGGUGGUAGGAGAGAAAGGACUUUAUUAUAGCUUGCUAGCAAGAGGGAACAUGGCUGACAUGUCUGAAAGAACCAUCUCACAGAACAAAGACAACAGGCCAGUUAUAUACAGUCUAUAUAUAUAUAACUGUAUAUAUAUAUAACUGCCUAUAUAUAUAUAACUUAUAUAUAUAUAACUGUACCUAUAUGUACAGUUAUAUACAGCCGGUCUCCAGGUAGGGGAGGCAGCUGGUCUCUGGGUGGGGCAGACGUCUGGUCCUAGUUCUUAAUAACCCUUUGUUUACUGUAUACGCAUCAGAGAAUGAAGCAAUGCCUAUACCCUGAUCUUUCCAUUGUCAUUGAUGAUGGCUAUCAGCAUGGGCUCUCUGCCCAGGGGUCAUCACAUUCCUAAGGAACUCAAAAGAGCAAAGGUAUCAUCUUAAAGCAGCUGGGGGGGUGGGGCACAAAAUCUACAGAGCAUGUCUGGGCUAGUUAGUCAGAGGUCAAUUAAAGUUACGCUAUGGUUUCUUUUCUAUGAUGUGUCUUGCCUUAUGUCAACCUUGUGUUGAGCUGGUAUCAAUAGGUGUGGAGAUAGGCAAGGUAAUUUUUAUAAAGAGGGAACUGUUGGCAUUAGGAAAUGAUCAAUUUUUGUGUUUUUACUUUCCUGAGUAAAAAUUCAGCAUCUGUAAACUUACAGUCCUUAAAAUAGUUAUAAGGUUUCUAACUUUGAUCUUGGGUCAAUUAGCUUGUUUCUUCUAUUCUUUAUCUUUGAGGAUUAUUUACCUUAAUUGAAGAGAUAAGAGCCAAAGAAAGAAAAAUCUCUGCAGCUGAAAUCAAUUUAUUUGGUCUCCAUGAUAUUUUAGAGGAUUGAAAAGAAACUAUUUUCGUAUUCCAGGUAUUUUUAGGAACUAGAGAUAAAAUCGAUGCCUUGGCGUGAGGCACACACAGGAACACACGCAGCGUGAGAUGGUCCAUCCUAUCAAUGUCGUAAGGUUUCGACCAAACUGAACUUCCAGAAGCUUCUGACAAACCUUGUUCUUUUAAGCCCCUGUGCUGCUGUGUAUGCUACUUUGACUGGAAGAUGCUCAGUCAUCAUGUUGUGCUGGCUGGGUCCUCCUGAAGGCAGAUCGUAGGAUGCAGCUGAGAAGAGGAAGGAAGGACGACUGGGUGUAGCACAACCAUGAGGAAGUCUUGGUCAGCCCAAAGAGGAGCUCUGACACAAAGACUCCCUCAUGUGGAGCGUCCCAUUGGGCAGACGUGGUCAGGUCCUGGUAUCUCCACCAGGCUCUGGUAUCAGCUGGGGCUGUGACUACCCAGGAAAUCAUAAACUCGGCACAAAUGGUGUUGUGGGUCCUGACAGCAACUGUUGGCUGGCUCUCUCUUGAAAAGCAAACAAAGAGCACACUCCAUGACUGCUACAACUCUCCAUCGGAGACAAAUGCUUUGUUGGGAUGUGACAGGGAAUAAAUCAGUCAGCCCAUAAAUUGAGAACUCCAAAAAAUCCUUCAAAGUCAGCUUGAACUAUUGAGUCUUGGUCCUUGACCUUUCUGGAAGAAUAGCUCCUUAAACAUUUUGAUACUAAAGGACACUAAUAAAAUUAUGUGUUGACACCUG
ensembl:lncRNA